ensembl:lncRNA
AACCAGGUGCAAAAUAAAUAAACGAUUAUUGUUUGGAAAAAAAAAAAAAUCUGACCAUCCAUCAUCUGUACAGAUUCUUUUACUUUGUUUUACAGAUUCCUUUCUCUCUGCAAGGUUUCCUGGGUUCUGUGAAGAUACCAGCUGGAAAUUAGUCACGAAUGCAUGCUUCUGAGGUGCUCUCAUUGCGCCUACAUGAAGCAGGAUGGAGCGGUGGAGAGAUGUCCCAGUUAGCAGAGAACUUCAGGCAAAUUGCUGUGAUUUACCUCAUCCCCAUUCAGCUGUGCCAGCACGGGAAAUACAGUGUGACUGUAUUUGCAAGGAGCUCAUGUCUCCAGAAUGCCCCUUGAAAACCUCCUCUGGUUUUGUGGGGAGAAUAUUCCCACCACUUUUCCGGAGCUGUUUCUGUGGUGCUAAGCUGUUCACGAUGCUUCUUCCAGAGCCAGCCCCUUUCUACCAUGUGAGGUAAUGCAAGAGGCAGCCAUCGACCAAGAGGCCAAAAAAAAGACCUACGAGACAGAUCGCUUCCUGGCAAAGGUGGCUUUUUCUGUCCACCAUGGAAACGCAGCUGCCCACAGGGUUAUCGUGCUGUCAGGGAACAGAGUCUACCUAAAGCCAGGAUGGCGAAGGGAAGCUCGUAUGAAGUCCCUGCUGGGCACCAGCAACUUUGCACCUUUUCCUUUCCAGUAAGUGCUGCAAAAGACAUAAGAAUACUUCAUCUGAGGAAGGGCAACUCUUCCCCAGGUUUCUGGAUCAGAUCCUCCGGUGGUGUAAAUACAAAAGUGCUAGACUGCUUUAUUCGAGCUGCAGCAGGUGAAAAAUACUUUUUCUGAAGCAUUUUCCUGCUUGGAUUUUUUUUCUUCUCUUCCUCCAACUGAAAAUGUCAUCACUAAAAUGCAGAUGUGCCGCCUGCCACACCUUUUCCCUUCAGGGCAGGGCAGGGAGAGGUAGCCGGCAGGAUAGCUGAGAAACAGCGGAUACAGACAAAAACGCUACACGUAAAUUCUUGUAAAUAAGGCAACCAGCGCUCUUGGCCAGGCCUCCCAAUACCCCCAAAGCGCACAGUGAGCAUCCUUCAAAGGCAUGGGGCAGGUGGAACCAGCAACAUGGGCAUGUGCCAGAUGUACCUAGAAGGAGAGUGUUUUAAAGGACAGCUCUGCAGCUGGUGUACAUGGCUCUGCUGAAGUCCAAAUGUCCCUGUUAAGCCCAGCAUCUUGGGUGCUUUGCUGUGGGUAUGAUGGGAUAAGCACCACAGCUGCGGUCCUAAAUAACCAGGAGUGAAGGGACUUGGGCUGAAGAGAUCUUCUUAAACAUUUCCGUUACUGCCAGGUAGGUAAGCUUGUAUUUGAAAACACCUUCUUCCAAGUGAGCCAUCUGUGCUGUUUUCACUCAGAAUCAUAAACACUUAAGGGUCACCUGCUUUCUUUAAUCUCCGAAGGCUCUUAUUGGUCUGAGCUAUGCAGCUUAUCAAUUAUCUUCCUCGUUCCUUGUCCGUACCGACAUAGUGGUGUUGUGACUGCUUUUUAUUUUUAUUGUUUGUAUGCUCUCAGUCACUAGCUUCAAAUAUUCUGUAACAAGGGAAUGCGGUUUCCUGAUCACCUUCCUUCAUUAAGAAAACUUAAUUUUAGUGCUGACGGGAAAUGAAUUGGAUUAAAGAAAAUAAAGCCACCUAAAGCAGCCA